AUUGAACGCUGGCGGCAGGCCUAACACAUGCAAGUCGAACGAGUGGCGGACGGGUGAGUAAUGUCUGGGAAACUGCCCGAUGGAGAGGGAUAGCUACUGGAAACGGUAGCUAAUACCGCAUACCAUCGGAUGUGCCCAGAUGGGAUUAGCUAGUCGGUGGGGUAACGGCUCACCUAGGCGACGAUCCCUAGCUGGUCUGAGAGGAUGACCAGCCACACUGGAACUGAGACACGGUCCAGACUCCGACGGGAGGCAGCAGUGGGGAAUAUUGCACAAUGGGCGAAAGCCUGAUGCAGCCAUGCCGCGUGUGUGAAGAAGGACUUCGGGUUGUAAAGGACUUUCAGCUAGGAGGCGUUACUCGCAGAAGAAGCACCGGCUAACUCCGUGCCAGCAGCCGCGGUAAUAC
rnacentral:rRNA from 1 species